GACGACCAGGCGAGGAGGGUACAAACAAAGGGGCAUGGCAGCAGUUCAACUCAUAUCUUUCUCGGUCUUUUCGCUAAGAUCAAGUGUAGUAUCUAUUGUUAUCAGUUUAAUAUCUGAUAUGUGGGGUACAUCCUCACAAUGAUAUUAAAUUUAUUUUUUAUAAAGGUGGGUCCAUCAUAGUAGCUUACUGCUGGGGUCCACACGUGUUGCUUGGGCGUUGCACUGCUGCCCUGGCCCGGUGCACCCCAACCAAAUCAAGUUAAAAAUUUAUUAUAUCUUACAGAAUCAAGCUAAUUUUUUAUUAUAUCUUUCAUUGCUUUGAAACUCAAUCUGUAUAGUACAUGUGUACGUGCACAGCAAUGUUCAAUUUAUGAAUACAACUUUUCCAAAAGAAAGAAACAAUCACAUGGCUAUAGAAAAGUCUAACAAAUCAACUAGUAUUCUAUUUUGUUUGCAUAAAAAGUUGUUGUGGCAGUUACCUGCGAAAACAAAGGCGGGUGCUAGGCGUAAGUCGGCUGAUAGUUCGCAGUUAUAAGCCGCCUUGAUAACCGUCCGAUCGUGUACACCGUAGCCGGUUGCUUGCUGUCCCGCGAACGUACUUCCCCUCAACCCACUCUCUUCGCUCCAACAGAGAAAAAACCCAUGCAACGCCCACUCGCGCUCCAAGCACACCAACUAGCACAACGGUAGUGGCUGCGACGCCGUCGUCGGAGUCGACGCCGCCGGAGCUGCGGUGCAGCGGCCGUUGAUGCCGCCAGAGCUGCGAUGCAGUGGCCACGACGCCGCCGGAGCUGCGAUGCAGUGGCCGUCGGAGACGACAGUGCUGGAGCUGCGAUGCAGCGGCCGUCGAAGUCGACGCCCCAGAGCUAUGAUGCAGCGGCCGCCGGAGUCGACAGUGCCGGAGCUGCGAUGCAGCGGCCGUCGAAGUCGACGCCCCAGAGCUAUGAUGCAGCGGCCGCCGGAGUUGCAAUGCAGCGGCCACGACACCGCCGGAGCUGCGAUGCAGCGACCGUCGGAGUCGACGCCGCCGAAGCUGCAGCCAUCCGGGUUGCAAUGCAGCAGUGCGUCGGAGUCGACACCGCCGGAGCUGCGCCCGUCGGAGUUGCAAUGCAGCGGUGCGUCGGAGUCAACGCCACCGAAGCUCCGCCGCCCGGCGAGAUCCACGGCCAGCCGGCACCGGCUUACAGCACGGUGACCCCUUCAGCAGCAGCGUCGCUCGUUCUACUUGCUGUGGUGCGGCAACCGGCAACCGGUAGUCAACGCCGACUUGCAGCACCCGCCCCCUGACGACCAGCCUGCACCAGCGUCACUCGUCGGCCUGCAGCUGCAUGGCGCCGCCAAGCAGCAACGCUGCAUCGACGUAAACACACAUGUGAGAGCAAGAGCGCGAGGAAAAGCAGCACGACGCGGGGAGGCUUUCCGGCGAGAUGGUGCGGAUGUGAAGCUGCACGUAUCGAUCUGAGGAGCAGAGGAGAGGAUGAGGUUUGCGAAGGAAUGGAGGGCUUCCGGAUAGGAUAUGGGUGAACCAGGGCACGAGGGCACGAGGCACAGGGACACGUGGCCAACAAACGAGGCGGCUGAUGUGCGGGGUGCAAUCAGUCGGUUGAUUUAGAUAGUUUCCCAAAACAAAAGAUUGUUCUCACAGUUAUCC
rnacentral:rRNA from 1 species